rnacentral:rRNA from 1 species
CAAAAAUGCACAUACUGUGAGCUCGAUGAGUAGGGCGGGACACGUGGUAUCCUGUCUGAAUAUGGGGGGACCAUCCUCCAAGGCUAAAUACUCCUGACUGACCGAUAGUGAACCAGUACCGUGAGGGAAAGGCGAAAAGAACCCCGGCGAGGGGAGUGAAAAAGAACCUGAAACCGUGUACGUACAAGCAGUGGGAGCCUCUUUUAUGGGGUGACUGCGUACCUUUUGUAUAAUGGGUCAGCGACUUAUAUUCUGUAGCAAGGUUAACCGAAUAGGGGAGCCGAAGGGAAACCGAGUCUUAACUGGGCGUUAAGUUGCAGGGUAUAGACCCGAAACCCGGUGAUCUAGCCAUGGGCAGGUUGAAGGUUGGGUAACACUAACUGGAGGACCGAACCGACUAAUGUUGAAAAAUUAGCGGAUGACUUGUGGCUGGGGGUGAAAGGCCAAUCAAACCGGGAGAUAGCUGGUUCUCCCCGAAAGCUAUUUAGGUAGCGCCUCGUGAAUUCAUCUCCGGGGGUAGAGCACUGUUUCGGCAAGGGGGUCAUCCCGACUUACCAACCCGAUGCAAACUGCGAAUACCGGAGAAUGUUAUCACGGGAGACACACGGCGGGUGCUAACGUCCGUCGUGAAGAGGGAAACAACCCAGACCGCCAGCUAAGGUCCCAAAGUCAUGGUUAAGUGGGAAACGAUGUGGGAAGGCCCAGACAGCCAGGAUGUUGGCUUAGAAGCAGCCAUCAUUUAAAGAAAGCGUAAUAGCUCACUGGUCGAGUCGGCCUGCGCGGAAGAUGUAACGGGGCUAAACCAUG